rnacentral:lncRNA from 1 species
AUGAGGUAUUCUGGAGCAACAUACUGCACUGCCAUUUCAUUGAUCUAAAGAUGAAAGCCUUGUCACUGCAGUACCACCUCAUUUCAAAGUGAAUGCACUUAGACAGAUGGAGUAUGGCAAUUUUCAAUGUAAAUAAUGUUUUGCCUUUCUGAAGGAGCUCAUUUGCAGUCUUGAGGCCAUUAGACCUCUGCUCUGGCUCUUCAGCACUGCAGCUCUGCAAUAGGAUUGGAGAGUCAGUGUGAGAUUGACAAUUAACUUCUCACUUGUGCUGCAAACCUUCCUUUUAUAUUUCUAUAAAACUGAACAAAUGACUGCUACUUAUGUUUUGCUCAUCAACUUGUAAGUGAAGGCCAUUUAAGACAGAAAUGUAGGAUUUAGCUCCAGCUGCUGCUCUAAUGUUGCAGAAAGCUUUUGCUGCAGUUCAUUAAAUUCAACUUCAGGCAGUCACAAAACUGCCAGCUAAUUAUUCUUUUCUUUCCUUGGCUGAGUGAAUCCUGGUGUCACCAAUUUCCCCUCACAAAAUGGAGCUACAGAAUUCUUCACUGUGAAGAUUGAAGAAACAAAGCAGUAAGGAAGACACCAACAUUAUUUUGUUAAAAACAGAUAUCUUAAGGAGCAGCACUGGAAGGAGUUAAGAAGCUGAGAAUUAAGUCACAUUUUGACAUGUAUAGGACUCAGAAAAGAUGCCUGUUUACAAAAGGAUGUAAACAUCACCAGGAUGUUCCCACAGGAAAUGCCCUCCACAGCCAAGGGAGGUUUUAGGUGGGAAUUGAAGGCCCAUGCUUCUCUGGUUUUUCUGUGGAUUCCAGCAGGAGAAAAGGUAGGUAGGAAUUACUUGUGAAAAUCCUGAAAUGCCUUGAAAAUCAGAAUUGUGUGCUCUCAAAAUUGUGUUUAAAUAUUUUAGGGGUUAGCUUGGAAAGGUUACUGGGGAGGUAAUAGCUACUGAAACAGGAAAAAACCCCUUGAUAUGGUUUGAAAAUUACACAGCAGAACUGGACAUGAAAAUAAUUGAGUUUUGGAGAGCACACAAAUUGAAUAUGAGCAAUUAUGAAAAAAGUGCAAAGUGAUGUCUUUUGUUCUUUUUCUUCUUGUGUAGGGACAGCAACAGAUCCAGCUUGACUUGAAGUGAAUAGACUUCUUUUAGUAAGAUUUUGAUUGACCCCUUAUUUUCUACAGAACAGUUGUUUUUUCUGAUAUAAAAGUGGCAAGGAAGAAAAGGUUAUUUUUUAAAAUUUCAUUUAUUGGGUAUUUAUCAGUCAACAAAAUAUGUUUUGUAAAUUUCCAGGUCAACUAGGAUAGUAACAACAGACUUGAUUGUUACCAUAGCAUCAGAAACUUUUUUUCU